AAUAUCAUUCAACUGAGUAGAAAGCAUGUCUCAACUUUGUCCCAACUGAAAGACAAAAAAUUUGGGCUUUUGCUAGCUCCUUACGGGAUUAUGACAGCUAAAUUUUGAGUUCAAGCCAUAAGACUAAACAGAAAUAGAGAUAAGUUUAUAUCACCAACUCAAGCAUUGAGUCUCAAGUUCUCGUCACGUUGCCAACAUCCUUCCGCUAAAAUUGACUAGAGAACCAAGAAGCCUCACUUUGCAAUUGGAAGCCAUUAGAUGGAAGAGAAAUACUGAGUUCAAGCUGCAAAAGUAAACAUAAUUGACUAGACAACCGUUGCUUGUUUAACUUUGUUACUUCCUGCAUAUUGAUAUGAAUUAUGAAAUACAUAUGAGAAAAGGUUUCUUUUCUGUGUGCUACAUUCUGACUAAACUUUUUUUCAUUGUUUCCAUAAUCCAUGCUUGUGAUGGUUUUACAGAUAGCAUUGAGACUGGAAAAGAAAAUGAAAUGAGACUCUGAAACAAACACUCUGUUUAUGUUACUUCAAGAAAAUGAAUUCUGCAAAUGUUGUGAUGCACUGAUAGAAUUGGUUGC
rnacentral:misc_RNA from 1 species